GGCGCGUCUGUUUGCGGAAGUAGAAGGAAGUAGAAGUGCUGAGUUAGCCGAGAAUCCCCAUGUGGCCCGUCCCGUGAGGUCAGCCACCUGGCCCGGCUGUCCUGGCACGCACCUCCUGAGCAGCCACCCUGCCCCUCUGGUCCAUCAGCGAGCUUGACGAGUUUCCCUGUCUGGAGUAUGAAUGAGCUGAGCUUCAAACACCGAAUUUUCCAGAUCAAAGCCCAGCAGUUGCCCCGUAAAGGUUGCCCUGUGCUGGGUGGCUUUGCUGGCCGAGCUCGCAGCCCAGAACAGCACAGGGAGCAUCAUGGACUUAUUGCCACCGAGCUUGUAACGACGCCACGUGCUUUCCCUGAGUUGUUACCGCCUUCUCAGUAGCGGCCUUUAUUGAGCACACGGUGUCUUGGGGGUAACGUGUCGUAACUUACAAUUCCCCUAAUGCUGGGUGUUGAAGCUGCUUCCAUUUCUGUGUCAAAACAGAAAUUGUUAUAAAGCAUAUUGCCGUGCAUGCCAUGUGUUCUGUUUUGGGGGAAUUCUUUUCCGGAUACCAAGUCCCAUGCCUUCUCUUGGGGUCCCAGCCCCUCUCCCCUGGCUGUGGGGAAAGGCGCAGGUACCCUGCCCCUCUGUCCUUUCAGCUCCCAAGUGUGGAAGAAAGAAGGACCUUGACGUAGGUCUAAGCAUCCUCAUGAACGUUCUCAUUUAAUCCUGACCGCACAUGAGAGGCGAGCGUUGUCCUCGUUUUAAAGGAGGAGAAACUGACUCUCACAAUCUGCUCACACCACAUCAAAAAAGGAAAGACAUUACAAAGCUUCACAGCGUUUUCAAAGCUCUUCAAUCAUGGUCUCUAAGCCUCAGUUUCCUUAUCUGUAAAAGGGGGUGAUGGAACUAAAGAGGGCUAAUGUUUGUUGAAAGUUACUAUCUGCCAGGUACUGUUAUUAGGCACUGUUGUGAUCCCCAUGUUACAGUUGAGGAAACUGACUCAGAGAGGUUAAGUAACUUGCCCAAGGUCACACAGCUGGUCAGUGGUGAGGCUGGGAUUUGAAUGCAGUUUUU
rnacentral:lncRNA from 1 species